GCCGGGAUAGCUCAGCUGGGAGAGCAGCAGACUGAAGUUUCUCGAUUUCUGAAGGUCGCGUGUUCAAGCCACGCUCCUGGCA